UGAGUAACACGUAUCCAACCUGCCGUCUACUCUUGGACAGCCUUCUGAAAGGAAGAUUAAUACAAGAUGGCAUCAUGAGUCCACAUGUUCACAUGAUUAAAGGUAUUCCGGUAGACGAUGGGGAUGCGUUCCAUUAGAUAGUAGGCGGGGUAACGGCCCACCUAGUCUUCGAUGGAUAGGGGUUCUGAGAGGAAGGUCCCCCACAUGGAACUGAGACACGGUCCAA
rnacentral:rRNA from 1 species